rnacentral:rRNA from 1 species
UACAGAGGGGGCAAGCGUUGUUCGGAAUUACUGGGCGUAAAGGGCGCGUAGGCGGCCUGUUAAGUCAUGCGUGAAAUCCCCGGGCUCAACCCGGGAACUGCGUCUGAUACUGGCAGGCUUGAAUCCGGGAGAGGGAUGUGGAAUUCCAGGUGUAGCGGUGAAAUGCGUAGAUAUCUGGAGGAACACCGGUGGCGAAGGCGGCAUCCUGGACCGGUAUUGACGCUGAGGCGCGAAAGCCAGGGGAGCAAACGGG